GCUUGAGAAGCUCAAUUGGGUAGAGCGAAUCAUUGAAGCUGAUUAGGUUGUAAGUUCAAGUCUUAUCUCGAGCA